CGGGAAAAGCUCAAAUUUAAAAUCUGGCGGUCCCUGUGGCCGUCCGAGUUGUAAUUUAGAGAAGUGUUAUCCGUGCUGGACCGUGUACAAGUCUCCUGGAAUGGAGCGUCAUAGAGGG
rnacentral:rRNA from 1 species